rnacentral:ncRNA from 1 species
UCGCCCACAAUCUGUUCAAACGGUUUCAACACGGAUGUGUUGGGUGCGGUGUGUAAGCAGAUACCACGCGCCUGAUAGUCGGCACUAGCCGAAACCCUUAUCUGGGACAUCUUUGCUGGGGUCGUUCUUCGGUGCGCACGCGUAUCGAAGUUGUUCCCACCUUUGGUCUCCUCGCGCUAACCCCGUAGCGUGUGGUUUUUAGCGGGCUCCAGGCCCGCUUUUUUUU